GACGAACGCUGGCGGCGUGCUUAACACAUGCAAGUCGAACGGAAAGGCCCUGCUUUUGUGGGGUGCUCGCGUGGCGAACGGGUGAGUAACACGUGAGUCACCUGCCCUUGACUUUGUGAUAACUUCAGGCAACUGGGGCUAAUACCUGCUAGGAGCUCCUGCUGCAUGGUGGGGGUUGGAAAGUUUCGGCUGUUGGGGAUGGACUCGCGGCUUAUCAGCUUGUUGGUGGGGUAGUUGCUUACCCAGGCUUUGACGGGUAGCCUGCCUGAGAGGUUGACCGGGCACAAUGGGACUGAGAGAGGGCCCAGACGGCUACGGGAGGCAGUGGGGGGGAAUAUGGUACAAUGGGGGGAAGUCUGAUGCAGAAGCGCCGCGAGCGGGAAGAACGCCUUCGGGUGGUAAACCGCUGUCGCCUGUGACGAAGCGGGAGUGACGGUAAUGGGUAAAGAAGCACCGGCUAACUACGUG
rnacentral:rRNA from 1 species